GAACGAACGCUGGCGGCAUGCCUAACACAUGCAAGUCGAACGAAGCCUUCGGGCUUAGUGGCGCACGGGUGCGUAACGCGUGGGAAUCUGCCCUUGGGUUCGGAAUAACAGUUAGAAAUGACUGCUAAUACCGGAUAAGCCCUACGGGGGAAAGAUUUAUCGCCAAAGGAGCGGCCCGCGUCAGAUUAGGUAGUUGGUGGGGUAAAGGCCUACCAAGCCUACGAUCUGUAGCUGGUCUGAGAGGAUGAUCAGCCACACUGGGACUGAGACACGGCCCAGACUCCUACGGGAGGCAGCAGUGGGGAAUCUUGGACAAUGGGCGCAAGCCUGAUCCAGCCAUGCCGCGUGGAUGAUGAAGGCCUUAGGGUUGUAAAAUCCUUUCAACGGGGACGAUAAUGACGGUACCCGUAGAAGAAGCCCCGGCUAACUUCGUG
rnacentral:rRNA from 1 species